rnacentral:tRNA from 1 species
GCUCAGCUGGAUAGAGUACCUGGCUACGAACCAGGCGGUCAGAGGUUCGAAUCCUCUCGGACGCGCCA